UGGAGCCUUCCUUUUCCUGCUGCAUACCCAGUCACGAUUUCUCUGCAGUUGACUGCACUUUCACUCUCAAGCCUGACUCUUCUGAGGUCCAAAAGCAGCAGCAUCUUUCCUGAGAAUCGUAUGAUAGAGCUGAAACUACCUCAAAUGUGUAGAUGCCAUGUCUCAGCCUCCCAGAUGCUGAAGUUACAGGUGUAUACGUCUUACCCAGGUCCUUUUCCAUUAAGAAGCAAUUCAAAGAUUUCCUUCAGAACCCCUCCCAUACGUCUCAUGGGGGGAAAGUUAUCCAACAAAUUCCAAGGACCCACUUCCCGCCAUGAAUCCAUGUCCAUAUUAGUGGGCAUCUCUAGAGUGGGAUUCCAUGCUGCCCCGUUAUUUUUAUGACUGCCUAUCCACUCUGUGAGAACCUUUACAAGAGGGAAAGACCAGAUGUUCAACAAAUAGUCUUUGAAUUAAAACAUGCACUGAGCAACUG
rnacentral:lncRNA from 1 species